rnacentral:tRNA from 1 species
GCGCCUGUGGCUCAAAGGAGUAGGGCGCUGGCCCCAUAUGCCAGAAGUCGUGGGUUCAAACCCAGCCCUGGCCA